GCGCCCGUAGCUCAACUGGAUAGAGCAUCUGACUACGAAUCAGAAGGUUUGAAGUUCGAAUCUUCACGGGCGCG
rnacentral:tRNA from 1 species